rnacentral:lncRNA from 1 species
CACUCACAAGAAAUCUGCCAUUUAUUGAGUACUUGCUGUUUGCCAGAUGCUGUGGGGACCUGUUAGCAUCUUCUGUGUCAUCUCAUCCUCAUGGCAACCUUGUAAGGAAGAAGCCAACUUCAGGACAUUAAGCUACCAUAAGAAAAGAAACAGGAGGAUUCUCUUCUUUUGGAUCGUAUGGUACAGAUGCCGUGUGAAUGCCUAAUGAGUGGGAUCUGAACACAACUCUGCUAAUAAGGAAGUCUCCAAAAUGUAGUUCCUAGCUGUCCAGUUCCUGUGAUUCUUGAACAGUUGUUGAAGAGGAUGAGUAUAUUGUUGAAUGCCAACACAUAGUUCUGUUUUCCUUCACAGAGACAAUAUACAUGGGGAAUCAUCCCCAAAUAGAAAGAUGAGUUGCAUGCUGAACCAAAAGAUUACAGCAGUGUACAUAACAAUGUAACACUCAAAAGUUCUUUAUAUAAUAUGUGUUUCUAAACAGAUGAAAGCAUCCAAUAAAAAUUGAUUUUUAAACCACCAGUAAAUCUCUCUAAGUCAUUUUCAAACAUGAUCUUACGGUCUAUGUACCAUGA